GAGGGUAUAGCUCAGUGGUAGAGCAGGUGCUUAGCAUGCACAAGGUCUUGGGUUCAGUCCCCAAUAAUUCCA
rnacentral:tRNA from 1 species